rnacentral:lncRNA from 1 species
GAAGCCUAGUUUCACCUGGCCUAUAAGCCUAGUUUCCACACUCGCCCCUAAGCCUAGUUUCACCUGGUACAUAAGCCCAGCUCGCCUGGCCCCUAAGCCCAGUUUCACCUGGCCCAUAAGCCCAGUUUCCACACUGGCCCCUAAGCCCAGUUUCACCUGGAACAUAAGCCCAGCUCGCCUAGCCCCUAAGCCCAGUUUCGCCUGGCCCCAAAGCCCAGUUUCUACACUGGCCCCCAAG